UUUGGCUUUAUAAGAUUUUAGUUUGUAAUUAAUCUCAUGGUUCGAUUUUAUCCAUUGAGACCUUUUUCACUAUGUUUUAUUAUCAAACCAUUUCACUUUGCCUAACAUUUAAAUAUUCUUUCCUUUGUUUAAGGAUUGAUUGUUCCUCAAUACCAUGGUCAAACCAACCGCCAAAGAUCUUCCGCUUAUGGGAGGUAUUUUGAAUUUACAAGUGCAUUUUUGAAUCAAAAACAUUAUUAGUAUUGAUAUAUUAAUUUAAUACUUUAAUCCAAAUCUUUAAUAAAACAAAUAUAAAAUACAAAUUAUGUUUUAUAUAUAUAUAUAUAUAUAUAUAUAUAUAUUUAUAUUUUUGACUAUUUACAUCUUAUUAAAUUUGAAGUGCACAAAAAAAAGAAAAGUUACAUCUUAUCUGAUAAGAUUCCAAAAUAUAUAAAUACAAUGCUACGUUUUGAUUUUUGUUUAUUGCUACGAAACCUUUUAAAAAUUUGGAAAAAGGUAAAAAUACAGACGACAUGACCGACCACUCCUUUUCUCCUGGUUUGCAAGAAUCUAAUUGAGUUGCUUAAUAUUUGUUCCAAAUUAAUAUAUAGUCCCAUCAGAAUCAUAAAUUAAUAAUCUAUCUCUAUAUAAUUUUAUAUAAGUACUAAAUAAAGAUAUUUUUGUUCAUUUUAUAGUUACAAAACUCUAAUAAAACAAAUAUAAACAUUAUUAGUAAAAUAUGUUUUUUAUUUAAAAAUAAAAAUUAUGAAAAAACCACAAUUAGUUCUUAAUAAAAAAAUCAUGCUCCCAACUGUAUCAACAGAUUCGUCAUUCACCCCUAGAAGACACAUAUAGGAAUAAUUAAAUACUUUGGCCAAAAAAAACAUUUUUGUGAUGAAGAUUCUUAGAUGAUGAUCGUUUUCUAUACAAACAUGCGGCACUUCUACACCAUUGUUUUAAUCCCAGGAAAACACGUAGAAAUCCAUUAACACAAAUAUUAACAUACUUUAAUUAAAUAUGUAAUCCGCGCGGAGCGCGGACACCGGCUCUAGUUUAUAUAACGAUCUUUCGUUUUCUUUUUGUUUAUCAUACUAUUAGUACUUUUCAGAUUUGUUUUUGUGAACAUUGAAGAAAGAUUUAUGGCUUGUGUUGCGCACACACUAUGCUUCGUUGCAGCUUUACUUCUAAUCUACCAGAAGACAGCUACUUGCGAUUUCCUAUCUCCUAUUUUCGGUUUGUCUUCCUCUUCUCAACUCUGUUCACCCCUAGUAUGUUGUGACUCAUGUUAAGUUGGUUGAUUUAAUUUUCUGAAAAAUAGAUAAUAUAUGCAAGGCAGUGGUAUGUGGGAAAGGGAAAUGCAAAGCAUCUUCAAACGCAACUUUUAAGUAUGAAUGUGAGUGUGAUAAUGGUUGGAAGCAAUUUGAUCACAAUCUCAAGUUUCUUCCUUGCGUCAUCCCCAACUGUAAAUUCUCUAUCUAUACAUCUCUCUUUAAAAUUAGUUAGUUUGGUGUGAUCAUAUAUAACAUAACAAUAUGUAUAUUCAUCAUUCUAGGUACCUUUGAUCUAAGUUGCGGUGAGGCAGGACCUCCUGCACAGCCCCCAACGCCUCCCAAAGACAACAAUGCUUCAUUUUUCGAUGGUAACAUAAUCCCUAAUCUCAUUUGCUUCUCCAUACACUAUGUGUGAUUGUUUAUACAAAUAUAUAUGACUCUAGAUGUUUCUUUAUAGUUUGUCACUGGAUGAAUUGUGGAGAAGGGAUUUGCAAAAAGAAAAAUCUGUUUUUGUACAGCUGUGAAUGCCGUGAAGGUUACAGCAAUUUUAUGAAUAUCCCCACAUCGCCUUGCUUUAAGCAAUGUAAGAAAAAAAAAUUGGUAUUAUUGAUUGUCAAUUGACACAUAUAUUUAAUUUGAGGUUUUUUUAUAUUAAAAAAAAUGUUUUGGAAGGUGCACUUGGACAGGACUGCUUGAACCCUGGGACCCCUUCAAACUCAUCAUCGAACGCAUCAUCGUCUUCUCCACCUGCUCUGCCUGACGGCAGCAAGAGCCAAGGUUUGAUUGACUCGUUAAGAUCUUAAUCAAGAUAGCAUAUACUUAUUAAGAUGAUAAGUAUUACAGUUCAUAUUUGUUUAAAUUACAGCAACAGGACUAAAUGUAAGAGGAGCGUCAUUGUGGUUGAUAUCAUCUAUGAUAUGUGUCUCUCUAGCACCAUGGAGGCUGCUCUGUAUCUGAACUCUUUUACUUUAGAAUUCAAAUUUUGUAUACAAGUCGAUUCCUUUUGAAUUUGAUAGUGUGGAUGGGUACUGUUUUUUCUUCUUUAAUUUUCUAUUCCCUCAGUUCUUAAAAGAUAGACUUUUUACUGUUUCACACAUAUUAAGAAAACACAUUAAAUUACUAUAGUAAAUUUAUCAUUUUCUGUAAUUUUCAAUUUUCAACAACUUUUAGCCAAUAGUAAUCUAAUAAAACCAAUUAAUUUUCUUAAAAUUUACAAUUUUCUCAUAAAAAACAUAAAAUAUACAUCUUUUUGAAACAAAAUAUUUUUUCAAAACAUGGUUCUUUUAAGAACAGAGGGAGUAUGUUUCAUUCUUGUGUAAAGACAAAUAUUAUAGGACUCUACCAGAGUUUUCACCAACAAUUAUAAAUUAUUAUACAAGUGAAAAACCAAUCUUAUAAAAAAACUAGAAAUAGUAUUGAAAAAGUAAUUAACAACAUGUGUUUUUAUUGGCCAAAUCUUUAAGAAAAAUCUAUCUAUUUAUAAUAAUAAAAUUGCAUUUUGUCUUUUCUCAAAAACGUUUUGGAUUUUAAGUAUACUCCAAAACGUGACACGUGGCACGCUUCAAACACAGCUUCUACAUUUUGAUUAUGGGCUUACAACAAGUUGAGCUAUCUUAAUUAACUUGGUCCAAGAGUGAUUUCUUCUCAAAGACCCAAACCUUCAAUGAGUUACCGACUGUUACCUGCUGGAUCUUUGCGGAAAGACGGCUUGGUUUUCCUGAUCGGUCCAUCUUCCUCCCACCACCUCUGAACCCAAGGCGGCGUAACUGUUUCUGCAUUCAUUCAAUAAACCUAAUUAAAUUUUGUCUUAAACGCCAUCGAACCACUACAUUGUAUUCAAUACACUACCUCCUUCCUCUAUGAUUAAGAAGCUACAUCGGCCUUUGCUUCAGUGAAUUCAUCACUUCCUCCCUCUGAAGCAUUAUGAUGAUGAUGACGUUUGCAGCAUCUUUCUCGAGCCUUUCACUUCCCAUGACCCCGCUACCUCCCGUCAUGUCGUCAAAGAAAUCCCACAACCUGUCCUGCCUUCAGUGCUGGCUACGUAUAUAAGAAUGAUGUCUUGCAUAUUUCUCAUCAAUUGCUCCACCAAAUUUCAGUUUAUUUUAUUGGUUACAAUGUUAUUUCUGUCGCUGUCUGCCGGCACGGCUAUGCCUCUUGGCUCUUAGGUUCUAUCAGGCUUGGAUGUUUUCCUUUGAGAUAUGGAGCAAAUUUUUUGUGUGGCCAAGCUUUUGCCAUUAUCGGCUUCACUGAUUCCAAGAAGCAAUCCACUGGGUGUUUCUUAAUGUUUGUUUGUUCUUAUGGUGCAUAUAGAUAUGAACAGAGCAGGACUUCCUUUGCUAGAGUGUAUCUGAAAUUCAUAUGUAAAAUGGGCUCGAUGGAAUGGACUGUGAGGUACUGUGAAUAUGCAAGAAGAUUAUCUCUCUUGCGAUGUUAA